rnacentral:lncRNA from 1 species
UAUCAGACUUGGUCGAUCCAUUGUUAUUAGCUGACUCAGUUUGGCUCUGAGCCGAUCCAAUUUUCAGAGAUGAAAAUUUUGCUUGAAUUCAAGUAAAAAAUUUAUAAAAUUAAAAUUAUUUCAAAAUUUAAUCUAAAUCUAUGUUAAAUUCAGACUUAAUUGAGAAUUAAGUAUGGAACUUAUUGGAUCUAGAAUUAUAAAUUAAAGAUUCGAUGACACUUUUAUAAAACAUGG